UCUCCACAUGUUCCACAAGUUUCACUCACACUCAUGCAUCAAACACUUUUUAUUAUAACAACUAGCAUCAAACGCAGAACAGAUAUUAAAAACAACAACAAGCAUUAUUCAAGCAUAAAAGUGUGAAUACCAAGAAUCCAAGGCAUGUGCAUACUAGUGUGUGCCAUCUAAAUAACUAAAUGCUAAAUGCAUGAUCAUGAAAUUAAAUGAGAGAUGAGUGGUUCAG
rnacentral:lncRNA from 1 species